GACGAACGCUGGCGGCGUGCUUAACACAUGCAAGUCGAACGGAGUGGCGAACGGGUGAGUAACACGUGGGUGAUCUGCCUUGCACUUCGGGAUAAGCUUGGGAAACUGGGUCUAAUACCGGAUAGUGCAAGAUGAGCUCGCGGCCUAUCAGCUUGUUGGUGGGGUAAUGGCCUACCAAGGCGUCGACGGGUAGCCGGCCUGAGAGGGGGUACGGCGACAUUGGGACUGGGAUACGGGCCAGACUCCUACGUGAGGCAGCGGUGGGGAGUAUUGCACACUGGGCGGAAGCGUGUUGCAGCGACGCGGCGUGGGGGAUGAAGGGCUUGGGGUUGUAAACUCCUUUCGACAGGGACGCGGUACCUGUAUAAGAAGCACCGGCUAACUACGUGCCAGCAGCCGCGGUAAUUC
rnacentral:rRNA from 1 species